CAAGCAGGUGUCUUUCCAGUCAGCUCUGGGGCCCCGAUGCCUCAGCCUCUUAGAGCACUGGGUGCAGAGAUGUACCUCCACCACUGAAACAGCACCAGGACAGAGAAAGCAGCUGAGAGGAGAGGAGCCAGGAGACAUGGAGCCAGCCACUUAAAAGACGCAGCAGCAAACUUCUGAAGAGCAGGAAGUCUGAAACGGGGCUGCAGGGGGUGACCGGAGAAUGGUUUCAAGAAAUGCAAAGACAAAAAUUCCACAAUUAUGUCGAAGCCAAUAGGAUGCUAAAACCACCACUGGAACAUCAGCUAAGGAAGAGCAGAAACACCGAUCCUAAGGAACUAAAAAUGCCAUCCCGCACAAAUCCUCAAGCACAAAAGAACACUUCGGCUUCCUUUCUGGGGUUCAGAUCACCUUUUGCUUGGCUUUUCUCCUUUAGAAAAUCAAGGAAAAACCAGACUCAGAAGCAACCACGGUGAGCUAUGAUCAGAACAUACAUUAUUUCCAGCUUAAAAAAAGUCUAAUUGUUCUGUGUUUUGUUAUAAAACUUGGUUACAAUUAUUUUUUCAGCCUCUUGCCUUUCACCUCACUGAAGAGACAGGGAUUUUACUUGGUCAUGUAAUGAGAGAUUAUUUGUUCUGUGUCAGAAGAAUGAGGACUAAGUGGCAAAUGGUAGCUAAAGUCUUGUGACUCAAUCUAUUUUACUCAGGUUUUGCACGAUCAUAGCAUCAUAAAAUGGUUUGGGUUGGAAGGGACCUUAAAGAUCAUCUAGUUCCAUCCCCCCUGCCAUGGGCAGGGACACCUUCCACUAGACUAGAUUGUUCAAAGCCCCAUCCAGCCUAGCCUUGAACACUUCCAGCCUCUUCCUUCCAGGGCUUUAUCCCAUGGUACUCUACCAAGCAGAUCCCUCAAGAGACCAAAGUCAUCUCUCC
rnacentral:lncRNA from 1 species